UCUCUACCUUAGGCCAAAAUCUAAAACAGCAUCAGCACCUGGAAGUGUACCUCACACUCCUGUACCCUCGGAUGACCUAAUUGAUAUGCUUCAGGAUAGGAUAACUCUGGCAAACACAAUCAGCACGCUGGAGAAUGAAGCCCAAGACAAUAAUUAUACUUCAACUACAACUGACAACAGUGUUUUGCCAGUUGGUGCUGAGGAGAUGGGAUCAGAAGCUACAAUCAGAUUCCUUAAGGCAAAACUGAGAGUUAUGCAAGAAGAAUUAGACAGUGUUGUGGAGGAAUGUAAUAA